UCCCAAACUGGGAUUAGAUACCCCACUAUGCUUAGCCCUAAACCUAGAUAGUUAGCUCAAACAAAACUAUCCGCCAGAGAACUACUAGCAACAGCUUAAAACUCAAAGGACUUGGCGGUGCUUUAUAUCCCUCUAGAGGAGCCUGUUCUAUAAUCGAUAAACCCCGAUAAACCUCACCAUCUCUUGCUAAUUCAGCCUAUAUACCGCCAUCUU
rnacentral:rRNA from 1 species